rnacentral:rRNA from 1 species
CGCGAGAUGAGUUCUCCCUGAGACUUAGAGUCUCCUGAAGGAACGUUGAAGACGACGACGUUGAUAGGCCGGGUGUGUAAGCGCAGCGAUGCGUUGAGCUAACCGGUACUAAUGAACCGUGAGGCUUAACCUU